UACGUAGGAUGCAAGCGUUGUCCGGAAUUAUUGGGCGUAAAGGGUGCGCAGGCGGUUUUUCAAGUCAGAUGUGAAAUAUCCCGGCUUAACUGGGAGGGGCCAUUUGAAACUGAAAGACUAGAGUGCAGGAGAGGAUAGCGGAAUUCCCGGUGUAGUGGUGAAAUGCGUAGAUAUCGGGAGGAACACCAGUGGCGGAGGCGGCUAUCUGGCCUGCAACUGACGCUGAGGCACGAAGGCUAGGGGAGCGAACAGG
rnacentral:rRNA from 1 species